CUGGCCCUACGGGACGCAGCAGUGGGGAAUAUUGCACAAUGGGGGAAACCCUGAUGCAGCGACGCCGCGUGAGUGAAGAAGUAUUUCGGUAUGUAAAGCUCUAUCAGCAGGGAAGAAAAAAGACGGUACCUGACUAAGAAGCCCCGGCUAACUACGUGCCAGCAGCCGCGGAAAUACGUAGGGGGCAAGCGUUAUCCGGAUUUACUGGGUGUAAAGGGAGCGUAGACGGGAUGGCAAGUCUGAAGUGAAAGCCAAGGGCUUAAC
rnacentral:rRNA from 1 species